AGUCUCCUGAGACUGUCUCCUCACAAUGAAGUUUCCUGUUGUGCUGUUGGUGUUGCUAUUGCUCAGGAUUCCUGCUUCCAGAAGUGACAUUGUGAUGAUCCAAACUCUACUCUCCCUGCCUGUCAGCCUUGGAGAUAAAGCCUCCAUCUCCUGCAGGUCUAGUCAGAGCGUUGUACAUAGUAAUGGAAACACCUAUUUGCAAUGGUACCUGCAGAAGCCAGGCCAGUCUCCACAGCUCCUGAUAUACAAGGUUUCCAACAGAUUUUCUGGAGUCCCAGACAGGUUCAGUGGCAGUGGGUCAGUCACAGACUUCACACUCAAGAUCAGCAGAGUGGAGCCUGAGGAUUUGGGAGUGUAUUACUGUUUGCAAGGUUCAUAUAUUCCUCGCACAGUGAUUCAGACCCUAACAAAAACAUCUUUGCUUAGGGCGUCCAGCUGCCAAAGAUGUUACAUCUCUAUGAAAGAGAAGUGCUGGGGAACUCCUCAUGGAUUGCAGCUGAGGGCCUUGGAGCAUGAGUACCAUGGCUACACCUCACUGGCCAUGCAUUUCUGGCCUCAUCAGCUGCAAUAA